GAUUUCUGGCUUUCAGCCUGUUUGGCCCGCUCAGCUUGUCUGGGUGUGUUUGCUGGACAUGGCUGGCCAUCUUUCGUGCGGAUUCUGCUACCCUUCACUGGGUUGGCACCGCCGAUCUUUUACUUUGAAAAAAUUAGAGUGUUCAAAGCAGGCUUACCGCUGUGAAUACAUUAGCAUGGAAUAAUAAGAUAGGACUUGUGUUCUAUUUUGUUGGUUUCUAGGACUCAAGUAAUGAUUGAUAGGGACAGUUGGGGGUGCUAGUAUUCAAUGGCCAGAGGUGAAAUUCUUGGAUUCAUUGAAGACUAACUAAUGCGAAAGCAUU
rnacentral:rRNA from 1 species